rnacentral:piRNA from 1 species
GCCAGAAGAGACUACACUCUGCCC